GACGAACGCUGGCGGCGUGCUUAACACAUGCAAGUCGAACGGAAAGGCCCUGCUUUUGUUGGGUGCUCGAGUGGCGAACGCGUGAGUAACACGUGAGUAACCUGUCCUUGACUUUGGGAUAACUUCAGGAAACUCGGGCUAAUAUCGGAUAUGAUCUCCUGCUCCGUGGUGUUGGUUGGAAAGUUUCGGCGGUUGGGGAUGGACUCGCUGCUUAUCAGCUUCUUGGUGUGGUAGUGACUUACCAAGGCUUUGACGGGUAGGCGGCCUGAGAGGGGGACCGGCCACAAGAGGACUAAGAGACGGCGCAGAAGCCAACGGGAGGCAGUAGGGGAGAGUAUGACACAGUGGGCGGAAGCGAGAGGCAGAAACGCCGCGUGCGGGAUGACGGCCUUUGGGUGGUGAACAGAUGUCGCAGGAGACGAAGAGUGAGUGACGGUAAUGGGUAAAGAAGCAACGGCUAACUACGUG
rnacentral:rRNA from 1 species